rnacentral:lncRNA from 1 species
UUCCUGUGUUGCUGCCCAUUCUACUGGUUGAGGCGACACUCAGCUCUGGCAUACAAGAAUCCACAGAUGGUGUCACCGGUCUGAAAUUUAUUGUGGCUUUUCCGGAAAAUAUUGCUAAUUUUUAUCCAGCUUUGCCAAAAAACAUGAUCAUAAUUACAGCUUUGUUUCAUGAAACUGAAGUUGUCAUUAAGGGAUAUGAACAUCACAAAGACACACUGAUUCUGAGUGCUGGAGAAACUCAAACAUUUGAUGUUGAAGCCCAUCUGGAGCUCUCAAGAUCAGAAAUCUCCAACAGUUCCCUCCAGAUUAGCAGCAACAAGCUCAUCACUGUCCGUGAAGUCCACCACAAACACCAUAGUAUUCAGACUUCUCUGGUUACACCCACUGACAAACUGGGGACAGACUACCUCAUCCCACCAGUACCCAUCAUCAAUGGAACCAGUCACCCUGUAGACCAGAUCACCACAUUUGUAACUGAAAACAACCCUUUCCGUCUUGUUAUCAUCAACACCGAACAAAACAACACGGUCACCCUCACAGGUGUUGCCUCUAAAAACAUCUUCCUUCUGCCACACCAGGUUGCUAGUAUCUGGUUAAAGCCAGAGGAAGCCUUUAGGGCUGUGAGUGCCGAAAUGCCCAUCGCUGUCCUCUUUGGACAUGCAUGUGCCCACCUGCGCAAUUGUACGUGUGCACAGUUGUACACAGCUCUGUACCCAACCAAAGAAGAAACAAAAAAGUUCUACAUUCCUCCUUUUCUCACAAAGGGUGUUGAAAAUGGAGCAUACGUCCUCCUGUCACAAAGAGAAUCCAGGCAAGUGAAAUCGGCCAGUCAAAUCUCACCACUCCUGGAGGCAACAGGAUCAGCCAUCCUCUACCGUCCGGGCUUACUUAUCCCUCUGAUACCAGAGACAGAUCAUGGUGCCUGUUCCAUUGUCACCUCCGUUCCAAACGCAAGAAAUGUUGCUGUGAUUGUUGUCCACAGGAACCUGACAGCUGGGGUUCAUCUGGGAUAUCAGUCUUUGGAGAGUUUAAACUGGCAGCAACUGGACGGGAAUGAUUAUGUUUCAGUCCACAUUGACCUGGAAUCGAAGAAAAGUGUAAUCUGGCACUCUUCCUCCAAAAUGGCUGUCUAUUCCUUGGGAAUAAAAGAUGGCCUAAUGUUUGGCAACCCAGCAGCUAUCAUUAGCAAAAGUGCAGACAUCAGGGGCUGUCUUUUGGUCCCAGAGGUAAUCAGAAUUGGAGCAGUGGCAGGGGGAUGGCGAGAGUCUUUUCAGUACUGCCAAAAUCAGCAACUGGAGCUGGUAAGCUUUUCCAGGAGAGGACACAUGACACAGGUCUACAACAAAAUCCUCCUGGGCAAACAGGCAGGCCCGAUGGACCUGUGGAUAGGGAUGCGUAGGAGCGCUUGCAGUGGACAGUGGUACUGGCUGAGCAAUGAACCAGUGACUGAAACCAACUGGGCAGAGGGUGAGCCUGGCACAGUUAACGAUGCUCAGUGUGUCAUCAUGACCCUGAAGAGUUCCAACUUUAUUUGGAAAGAUGAGAACUGCUGCAGGAAUGCCCACCCUGUCUGCUACAAGGACCCCACCUUGUUAACCAUAUAGACACGAUGGGUGGCACAGGGGCUUUUUAGAAACCUGUAUGUGUAUAUAUAUAUAUAUAUAUAUAUAUAUAUAUAUAUAUAUAUAUAUAUAUAUAUAUAUAUAUAUAUAUAUAUAUAUAUAUAUAUAUGCCCACUCCACUAGUGUCGUGAUUGUGCAUCCGUUUUGGACUGAUUUCCAAAUUAGACCAGUCCAGUGAGGUAUUAACUACUCAUAGCAGCCUCUUUAUUUCUUUAGCUGGUGCUAACUGAAUCUGCCCACUCCACUAGUGUUGUGAUUGUACUCU